UGUUGGAGCAAAUCGAGAACCUUCUCUCCGAAUAAGAGCCGUAGAUUGGCUUCCAUGCCUUUCAUUAAAUGCUAAGCCAACUGCCUGCAAAAGUAUCGCUCAAAUCGCACCGUAGAUUAGUCAUCAAAGUCAAAUUAUCACUGCCGUUGGAUCGUUCUAUGGUUCCCCAUAUAAUUAGCUAGCUCUCUCCAAUUGAUAAGUGUGUCUGGUGAAGUCGUCGAUGUUUUCCAGUUAUUUAUAACCACCCAUGGUCUUGUUUCUCAGACCUGAUCCUCUAUUCUUUUAUCUGAUGUUUGCUCUGUGCAAAUUCGAUUAGAUCGUUUGUCGAUCUAUCUUUUGAUCAUGGCUUUACCCUGUUUUUGCUUGGAGAUCGAUCCGUGGUUGCAGCUUCUUCGUAGCGCAGCUAGUUCUGUUACGAGCAAGCCGUAGCCGUCUCCUUUUCAGCUCAGAUCUGCGAACGUUGGAGCUUCGUGAGCUCAGGUGGCGAGAUCUAUGGAUUUACGACUGGUGAAGAUCUCUUUCCCUAGCUGAUAUGUCCAUCUCUGAGCUUUUGUUUUGUUUGGUUGGAGAUAACCGGCAGUGGAGAUGUUCGAACCGAUGGUGAUUGGCCUCUCCAUGGGAGAUGGAUCUGACUGUUGGGCAUGCUGUGCUUCCGGGUAUCUGGAAAAUUUGGUGCCUUCUAAUCUGACGAUCUGCGUUGAUGGUAUUCUGGACCUGGCUUUCGUGAAGAUUAUUAGGCGACAAAAGGUUGGGUUUGUGGUUGUGUUAUUUACGGAUCUGUUCGGUUAUUAUGGUUUUGUGUUCGUCUGGCUGGCGAAUGAGGUAAUACUAUAGAAGUAGGAUGAUGGAAGGUUGCUGUGAGGGCUGAAGAGAUUUUUGGUUAAUUGAUGUUUAUUUGCUGCUUUUUGUUGCCUGACCUUUGCCAUGGCAGGUGCGCUUGCAUGGCAGGUCAAAUACUUCAAUAAAAUUUUAUAUUCUUGGGUUUUUGAGGGGGGAGAUGGCAUGGGAGUAUAUGGUUUUUUGGGCCUGGCUUCUCCCCCCUUCUGUGCGUGUCUGGUCUUGCCGUCUUUUCCCUCCCCUCUCUCUCUCUCUCUCUCUCUCUCUCUCUCUCUCUCUACUAGACGGUUUACCAAACAAACAUCCUUUGCAACCAAGGCAAACGUGGCAACAAUUAUGCAGGAAUCAAGUCAUGAAUUCGGAGGCCUAAGGUAUAAUACUUCCAUUUCAUCUAUAUUACGAUCAUCUUUAGAUUAUAUUCAUGAUUCUCACAGAUAUAAUCGCCUAAAAAAUUGGAUAUUACGGUCCCAAUCAUUUUUAUCAUGAUUAGUUUAUCUAGAUACUGGUUGUCUAUUCUCAUUUUAAUGCCCAUGUUGUUAAUGUUACUUGCACGGUUGCACCAAGUCGGCAACAGUAUACACAAGGUAAUUACUUAAAUUCUAGCCCUAUCUUUUUAAUCGCACACUGCAGUGGAAGUAAAAAUAAAAACAAUAGCCUAGCUAGUUCAUAUGUGUUUCACAAUCAUGGUUGUACCUGUCCUAUGUUAUCAUUUAAUGCCCAUAUUGUUGACUUGCACCAAGUUGGCAAUAGUAUACACAAGCUAAUUCGUACUUUAUGCUAUAAUUCUAGCUUUAUCUUUUUUAUCACAUACUUCACUAAAAGUAAAAAAAAAAAAAAAAAAAAAAAACACAAUAAGCAAGUUGGUUAAUAAAUGCUUCACAACUAUGUUCGUCCUUGUCAUAUCAACCUGUUACAGCCCGGUUAUUAUUUUAUGUCCAAAAGUCGGGCUUAUUUUUUCAUUAACUGGGACCUGCAUCCGUUGAUCAUUCUGAGUAAAAAUAUUACCCGUCGUGAAAGGUUUGUUUAUUUUUGACAGUGGAAGUAAUUGAAUAACCAUGGUAGUAAAUGUGACGGAAUUGAACAGGCUUCAAACCCAAUGUGACGGAAUUGAACAUGUUUCAUCUACGAAGUCAAUAUCUUCUAACACUUUGCAAAUUAAACAAUAAUAAUUAUUAUUUUAAGACAAACGAUGAAGGUUUAAAUAAAUUAUUGGCAGUUGAACGUCUUUAAUUUGAAGUUUCCAUAUAUUUUACAGCCAGUUGUUAUCAUGCGCAACUUAACAAUUUUCUAAAAUCAGGUUACAUGCAUAUAUGAGCAAUGUUGUAGUGAAAGGUCUAUUGCAAUAUUCGUAUGUGCCAAAUUGUAGUGUUCUAUGCCAUGCGUUGGGCAUUAUUGCAAGUCGUGGUAUCUUUAUUGUCUGUUAAUGUUCUUGUCAAGGGAGGUGGGGUUGGUUUCACGCCCUUGAGGUAUAUUUGUUGUAUUGUUAGUGGUUGGUAUGCCUGGCAUAGAGUGUACUCUCACUGUAUGUAGCUUUGUGGUGCUGUAAAUGUACCUACAUUCGGUUGUGACUAUUGGUUCUUGAAGACCUGCUUCUAGGGGUGUUGGAGUCUACUUUUCCUCCUUCAAGUGGUGCUGGAGUCGACUAUUCCUUGGAUGCAAUUGAAGUUACUGGUUUGUGGGAGCAAGUUUUUAUCUGGUGGUUUCUGCUCUCUCAUGGAGAUUGUAGUUGAACAAAAUCUUCAAUGAUGAGGAUGGGUAAAUAAAGUCUGAUUGUUACAACACGUUUAUACAUGUUCAGUUUUCUAUUGAGCAUCUGACUUGCAUGGACGUACGCAGGAUAAGUAUCUGCUGUUAUUUGUUGGUGAUCUGCGAUGAGAGCCAAGUUUUCAAGGCUGGUUUCUGUGAUGUGCUGUAUAGCUUAUUGUUGCUGUUGCUGUAGGAUGAAUUUGCGCUGGUGGUUUUUUUUCAAAAAUUAAGUGGUUCAUAUUUGAUAUGUCUUUUGGCGAAAUGGUCUCAUUCUUUGUACUAGCAUCAGUUUGCCACUAUUCACCCGUGCAUCUCAGUUGCGGAAACACUUGUAUGGAGCAAUAGCAAUACCGGUUUACGCAUGUUGCUGUACUGAGCUAAUGUUUCAUCUUUAGUGAUCAUACCGUCUUCUGGUAGCUGUGUUGUCUUGUUUCAACUUGGAAUCGACAAAACCUGUGCGGUAUAUGUUGUACAUGGCUUAUUAAAGGAAGUAGUCUGUCAGAUGAUUUUUUCUUUGCAA